AGUGAACGCUGGCGGUAGGCCUAACACAUGCAAGUCGAACGGCAGCACAGUAAGAGCUUGCUCUUACGGGUGGCGAGUGGCGGACGGGUGAGGAAUACAUCGGAAUCUACUUUUUCGUGGGGGAUAACGUAGGGAAACUUACGCUAAUACCGCAUACGACCUACGGGUGAAAGCAGGGGAUCUUCGGACCUUGCGCGAUUGAAUGAGCCGAUGUCGGAUUAGCUAGUUGGCGGGGUAAAGGCCCACCAAGGCGACGAUCCGUAGCUGGUCUGAGAGGAUGAUCAGCCACCGUGAAACUGAGACAGGGUCCAGCCUCCUACGGGAGGCAGCGGUGGGGAAUAUUGGACAAUGGGCGAAAGCCUGAUCCAGCCAUACCGCGUGGGUGAAGAAGGCCUUCGGGUUGUAAAGCCCUUUUGUUGGGAAAGAAAAGCAGCUGGUUAAUACCCCGCUGUUCUGACGGUACCCAAAGAAUAAGCACCGGCUAACUUGGU
rnacentral:rRNA from 1 species